AACAGGAUGUGUGUGGGGUAAUUGGAGAAAGCUGUGUACGUUGGUGAGGCUUGGAUAAAGUUUUUUUUCGUUACUGCAAACUCUGGGUCAUGAUUUCUGUGCUGAAGAGCUUGCUAUUCCGCACUGUGCCCUGUGCAACAAAAACAGCAGGACGGUUGGUUCAGGGCAUAGAACGCAACAGGGGUUAUGGGCCCAGUUUACCACAAGCUCUAAAGGCACCACAAGUUCCAGAAAACUAACGCUGGAAGCCAAGCAAACCAGGUAAGAGUCACCUGCUACUAAAGGGAGGCGAAAUGGCAAUGUCUGGAAGCUCGUCCAUACCCUUGGAGAGGCUGAACAAUACCAACUAUGCUUACUGGCGAGUAAAGGCAGAAAUGCUGCUUGUAAAGGAGGGAGUAUGGCACACCGUGUCUGGAGACAGCCCCUCAAGACCCCCAUCACCAGAGUGGAUCAGAGCAGAGGAAAAGGCAAGAGCUUUGAUCAUAUUAUCUCUGGAAAACUCUCAGUUAAUUAAUGUGAGAGGGCUAACUACUGCAAAAGACGUUUGGGCUGCCCUUAGACGUGCAAACACAAGGGAUACAGCAGGCAGCAGAGUACUACUUACGAGGAGGCUGUAUCAAGCUCGUUAUAAAGAGGGCGAAGCAAUGCAAACACAUAUACAGAGAAUGCUGAGUUUGUUUGCAGAGUUAGAGGACUUGGAUGUGCACCACACGCCACAACAAAAGGUGUACAUAAUUCUUUCAACUUUGAAUGAGUCAUGGGAUGCAGUAAUAAGUGCGAUUGAAACCUUACCUGACCGAGAGCUGGAUGUAACGUACUUAACUACAAAGCUACUGCAGGAGGCUGAGCGGAGACAAGAAAGGAGCAAGCAAGGCAGCAAGGAAAAGCCGAAACAAACUGAGGGAGGUAGCAGAGCGUAUGGGCAGAGACGGUGUCACAAAUGCGGUUCCGCAUCCCAUCUUCUCAGACAGUGCCGGGUGGGCAAGACAGAGGAAAGAAAACGUAGACAAGACACUGAACCAUUUGAUGUGCAUGUCGUGAGUGCCAAAAGGACACAAAAGAAAGAAGGAAACAGCACGUUGUGGGUCCUUGACUCAGGAUCAACAGCCUUUCUCUCAAAAGAUGCUGAACUGUUCCUAAAACUGACCCCAGCACAGCAGCAACAAGUCUUCCUGGCAGAUGGAAGCAGCAGGGAGGUUAAAGGGGUAGAAGCAGUAUAUUUCACUUGUCUGAACACUUUAGUCACAAAUGUUCUGUAUGUGCCCAGUUUAGAAAGAAAUAUAAUGUCAGUAAUGAAAUUAAAUGACAUGGGGUACUAUGUAGGUUUUGCUAACAAAGAGUGUGAAAUCAAAAAGGGUGAUGUAUGUGUAAAGGGAAGAGUGCAAAAUGCAUUAUUCAUGAUUGAGAAUAAGGCAGAGAAAAGGGUUAAUGUAAUUGAAAACAGACCACAACAUGAGCAAUGUAUACACAAUUACCAUCGAAGGUUUGGACACACUGGAUAUGGAGCCUUAGUUAAAACUCAAAAACACAGUGCAGAUUUGCAAUUUAAAAGCUGCCCUGCAUAUAUAAGCUGUGAGAUAUGUAAUGAAUGGAAAGCCACAGCUACUCCAAUAAACAAGGAAAGGAAAAAUAACACCCAAAGACCGUUUCAAUUAUUGCACAUGGAUUUAGCAGGGCCAUUUAAACAAACAAAGGGGCAAGCCAAAUUUUAUUUCGUCCUUGUGGACGACUUUACAAGGUACUCAUUUGUUUAUUUGUUAAAGAACAAAGCUGAGGCGGCUGGAACACUUAAACACCAUAUAACAUGGGUGGAGGCAAAAUAUAAAACACGAAUAGCAGGAAUUAGAUCUGACAGAGGGGGAGAGUUUAUGUCUGAGCAACUGCAAAGGUUUUUUGUUACGAAAGGAAUUAAGCAUGAAAUAACAGCACCUCAGCAGAACAGAUUAGCUGUAAGAAGGAAUGAGUAUUUACAGGAUACAGUGAGGGCUAUGCUGGCAGACUCCCCAUUUUCAAUAGAAUUUUGGGGUGAAUGUAUUAUAUAUGCAAAUUAUAUUCUGAAUCGUAUGUAUGAUAGUACUGUACAGUGCACUCCUUAUGAGAUGUUAAACGGACAUAAGCCCUGGUUAAGAUAAGUCAUAAGGUUUGGGGCAACUUGCAGGGUGCAUGUACAUAAAGAACAAAGGAAUGGGAAACAGAGUCCCAGAACAGUAAAGGGAUUUUACCUGGGAUAUGAGUGCGCAUCCCAUCACAUUUGGCUAACUGAAGAAAACCGUCUUACGGUAACAAAGAAUGUUACAAUACAGGAGAAUGAAUGGGAGAACUGUAAAAACAUCAAUAACACAAAUAAAUCUGUUUUAAAACCCAAGGAACUACAAGAGGUUGAUGUAGCAAUUUCCCCAGUAUAUGAGGAAAGGGGUAAGGAAGUUAUGUUAGACUGUACAGAGGAACUUGAAGAAAUAAGCACUCCAAGCUGUAAACAGGAGGAGGUGCAAGACUCUGAACAGGAGACACAGAGUAGUGAGGAAGAGCAAGAAAGAUGCGAACCGGAAGAAACUCAUGAGGGUAGUAAGGAAGACCAGUUACAGCCAGGUCCUGAGCCAAGGCUAGUUACAGAACCCUGGGAAAACCUCCAGAAAGAUUUACUGUGGUACAAGUUAGAAUACAGGAAACCAAAAACCCAGCACAGCCCAAAGAAAGGAAAGAUGAAUGGACAGCAGAGGAUUUCCAGGAGUGGUAUGCUAUGCUGGAUGGAGGAAGAGAAUGGAGGGACAAUGCUGAGGGAAGAUAACUCUAUUAACCUGAAGAAGGAAUGUUUGUCUUCUGUGCCAUGCUCUAAGAUAUUUGCACGUGAAGAUGAAAAGGCCUAACAGGUUUUUAAGAAGUUAUUUCAAUAGGAGCCCAGGGUGGCAGGUGGCCAUGAACGCUGAAAAGGAAGAGUUGUUUGGAGUGUACUUCACCCAAAUGGAUUAUCAAAUGUCAGUGGACCUGAACUCAUAGUUUGUCCAUCGGGGGCAUAAUUAGUGCAUUGUGUUCCUGCACUGGGUGCAGCUGUAAAGAAGUGGCAGAGUGCCAUGGAAGGCACAGUGCCCCUGACGAAGUAACUGCUCCCUCAACUGCUCUCCUUUUUCUCCAGGAAACCUGGGCAGUUUUCUGUUUAA